rnacentral:rRNA from 1 species
AACGAACGCUGGCGGCGUGCCUAACACAUGCAAGUCGUACGCAGUAGCAAUACUGAGUGGCGCACGGGUGAGUAACACGUGGGUAAUCUACCCUCGAGUCUGGGAUAACCGGCCGAAAGG